rnacentral:lncRNA from 1 species
AAACAUCUGCUGUAUAAUUUAAUCAAAUAUCAACGCAUCAGCCAUUGGCUCUGCUUCAGAUGGUUGAGCGUUCCCCAGAGCAAGUAGUCCAAGCACAACCGUCCACGAGCUCUGCUGCCGAUGGCGUGCUGCCUCGGCGAUUUGUGGGAAGGAAGGGGGCCGUGUCACGCGCGAGUGACGGAGCCAUUGUUCCAAGCUCUAACAGUGCAGUUCCUAGAUUUGUGAGGCAGCAGGUAUUGGCUGCCACCAAUCUUACUAGGCUUCAUACACCGUGUUGACCUUUAAUGAGGAUGGUA